rnacentral:lncRNA from 1 species
GGCUAAGCCAGGACUGCUUUUCUGGAGUGAUAAUGUGCUUGCCUGUGUCUAAGAGAAAGUACCCUGGCUGAUAAAUGGGACUUGGAUUUUAAAUACCAUUGGAUAAUAAAUGUAUGUGAUGGCUUUGGAGCAAAUUGAUUGACAAUGGCUAGGAGACAGCUUCCCAAGGCUGGAAAGAGGGGAGUGCGGAACAUGCCUCCACCAUACCACUGCCCACCUCCUGUGACCUCUGCAGCAAAACCUGAAGCCCCAAAGAGGCAGCUUCUCAAAGUAAAAGUGGAAUGAAGUUCCUGGUGACCUGAAUUCCCAUGGAGGAAAGAGGAAAAGGACAUUAUGCAAGGAGAUGGCAUCUCGUGUCCCUGGUGAACCAAAUUCCAUUAGGAAGACGGUGCAGUGUGAGGUGGACCUGGACCUGGAUAAAAUGGGUGUUUAACAAGUAUUUGUUGAGUAGGUGGUGGAGGAGGCACGACUAGAUGCAGGGUCUAGCUGAGUUGACAAGAGCUAACACCAGGUGUGGACCAGGACAGGGGGACCUUAAGCGAAGACACCCUGCCAGAUGUGUCUUGUUCCCUUGACUGUGGGGAGGCCCUUGGUGGUGGGGUGACGGUCCCCCAGUCUGAGGAUUUUCCCUGGAUGUAGCCUCUCAGUGCUAAAAUGGGACAGUCCCAGGCAAACCAGGUCAGUUGGUCACUCUACUCAGUGAGCCCCGUGCUGUGUUCAAAUUUUCCUCUUAACAGAUGUGGAUGGAUUUCGGAAACUUAGAAACCACCAUUUCUCUGUGCCUGGGAGGAGAGUUAAAUCUUCUCACCAGAAUCCUUUUAUGUGUGAGAGAAAUAAAUAUCUAUCCUUUUUAUAUCUCUUUUGUUUUGGAUUCUUUGUCACCAGCAGCCAAACCCAAUUCUUACAUAAACGUGAUACUAAUUAAAUUCAUUUGCAUAAACUCACCAGUUUUAUCCUUAAUUACUGUGAUAUACACUCAUGAAGUAUGUACCCUAAAAUACCACUGUAAGUUUUAUUUGAUUACAGCAUUAAACUUAAUUUACAGAAA